rnacentral:rRNA from 1 species
GUUGAACGCUGGCGGCAUGCUUUACACAUGCAAGUCGAACGGCAGCACGGGAGCAAUCCUGGUGGCGAGUGGCGAACGGGUGAGUAAUAUAUCGGAACAUGUCCGGAAGUGGGGGAUAACGUAGCGAAAGUUACGCUAAUACCGCAUAUGCCCUGAGGGGGAAAGGAGGGGAUCGUAAGACCUUUCGCUUUCGGAGUGGCCGAUAUCAGAUUAGCUAGUUGGUGAGGUAAAGGCUCACCAAGGCGACGAUCUGUAGCGGGUCUGAGAGGAUGAUCAGCCACACUGGGACUGAGACACGGCCCAGACUCCGACGGGAGGCAGCAGUGGGGAAUUUUGGACAAUGGGCGCAAGCCUGAUCCAGCCAUGCCGCGUGAGUGAAGAAGGCCUUCGGGUUGUAAAGCUCUUUCAGCCGGAAAGAAAUUGCACUGAUUAAUACUCAGUGUAGAUGACGGUACCGGAAGAAGAAGCACCGGCUAACUACGUGCCAGCAGCAGCCGCCGUAA